UACGUAGGGUGCAAGCGUUGUCCGGAUUUAUUGGGUUUAAAGGGUGCGUAGGUGGCUGAUUAAGUCAUGGGUGAAAGCCCGCAGCUCAACUGUGGAAUUGCCUGUGAUACUGAUUAGCUUGAGUGCGGUUGAGGCAGCUGGAACUGGUGGUGUAGCGGUGAAAUGCAUAGAUACCACCAGGAACACCGAUUGCGAAGGCAGGUUGCUAAGCCGUAACUGACACUGAGGCAUGGUAGCGUGGGGAGCAAACAGG
rnacentral:rRNA from 1 species